AACGAACGCUGGCGGCAGGCCUAACACAUGCAAGUCGAACGAGAAGCCACCUUCGGGUGGUGGAAAGUGGCGGACGGGUGAGUAACGCGUGGGAACGUGCCUUUCGGUUCGGGAUAACCCAGGGAAACUUGGGCUAAUACCGGAUACGCCCUCCGGGGGAAAGAUUCAUUGCCGAAAGAUCGGCCCGCGUCGGAUUAGCUAGUUGGUGGGGUAAUAGCCUACCAAGGCGACGAUCCGUAGCUGGUCUGAGAGGAUGACCAGCCACACUGGGACUGAGACACGGCCCAGACUCCUACGGGAGGCAGCAGUGGGGAAGAUUGGACAAUGGGCGAAAGCCUGAUCCAGCCAUGCCGCGUGGGUGAAGAAGGCCUUAGGGUUGUAAAUCCCUUUCAGCGGGGACGAUAAUGACGGUACCCGCAGAAGAAGUCCCGGCUAACUCCGUGCCAGCCGCCGCCGUAA
rnacentral:rRNA from 1 species